UACGUAGGGGGCGAGCGUUGUCCGGAAUCAUUGGGCGUAAAGCGCGUGUAGGCGGCCCGGUAAGUCCGCUGUGAAAGUCCAGGGCUCAACCCUGGGAUGCCGGUGGAUACUGUCGGGCUCGAGUCCGGAAGAGGCGAGUGGAAUUCCUGGUGUAGCGGUGAAAUGCGCAGAUAUCAGGAGGAACACCUGUGGUGUAGACGGCUUACUGGACCAUGACUGACGCUGAGGCACGAAAGCGUGGGGAGAAACAGGAUAGAUACCCGAG
rnacentral:rRNA from 1 species